rnacentral:rRNA from 1 species
UGGGGGAUAUUGCACAAUGGGCGAAAGCCUGAUGCAGCGACGCCGCGUGGGGGAUGAAGGCCUUCGGGUUGUAAACUUCUUCUGCUCUGAACAAGGCGCACCAUGGGGUGUGUUGAGUGUAGGGGUUGAUUAGCGCCGGCUAACUACGUGCCAGCAGCCGCGGUAAUACGUAGGGCGCGAGCGUUGUCCGGACUUAUUGGGCGUAAAGGGCUUGUAGGUGGCUGGUUGCGUCUGUCGUGAAAGCUCAUGGCUUAACUGUGGGUUUGCGGUGGGUACGGGCUGGCUUGAGUGCAGUAGGGGAGGCUGGAAUUCCUGGUGUAGCGGUGGAAUGCGCAGAUAUCAGGAGGAAUACCGGUGGCGAAGGCGGGUCUCUGGGCUGUUACUGACACUGAGGAGCGAAAGCAUGGGGAGCGAACAGG